rnacentral:lncRNA from 1 species
UCAUAAUAAAAACAUUCAACAAAAAAACCCCAAACAAAAAACCCCAAAUUUAUUUCUCCUUCUUAUUUGAGAAGUUAAACAAGAGCUUGCAGCAAACCGCUCUAAACUCAAAAUGGGUAUAAUCUCGUCUCUAGACACAUGAAAAAGAAAACAUAAAAUAAAAAAAUAAAAAAAGUCAGAUAAAUAAAGAAAAAUAAUUACAGAUGAAAAAUAAUAGAUCAAUUAUAGAUAGAACAAAAUCUAAUCACGAAAUUAUUAAAAUUAAUAUUAUUAUUAUCAUUUUGAAAAAUAUAAGAAUGAUAAAUGGAAAAAUAUUUCCCUUCUCUUUUUUUUUUUUUUUUUUCUNN